UUGGGUUUAAAGGGUCCGUAGGUGGAUAAUUAAGUCAGAGGUGAAAUCCUGCAGCUCAACUGUAGAAUUGCCUUUGAAACUGGUUAUCUUGAGUCAUUAUGAAGUGGUUAGAAUGUGUAGUGUAGCGGUGAAAUGCAUAGAUAUUACACAGAAUACCGAUUGCGAAGGCAGAUCACUAAUAAUGUACUGACACUGAUGGACGAAAGCGUGGGUAGCGAACAGGAUUAGAUACCCUGGUAGUCCACGCCGUAAACGAUGGAUACUAGCUGUUCGGACUUCGGUCUGAGUGGCUAAGCGAAAGUGAUAAGUAUCCCACCUGGGGAGUACGUUCGCAAGAAUGAAACUCAAAGGAAUUGACGGGGGCCCGCACAAGCGGUGGAGCAUGUGGUUUAAUUCGAUGAUACGCGAGGAACCUUACCAGGGCUUAAAUGUAAGUUGCAUAGAUCAGAGAUGGUCUUUUCUUCGGACUACUUACAAGGUGCUGCAUGGUUGUCGUCAGCUCGUGCCGUGAGGUGUCAGGUUAAGUCCUAUAACGAGCGCAACCCCUGUUGUUAGUUGCCAGCGAGUCAAGUCGGGAACUCUAACAAGACUGCCGGUGCAAACCGUGAGGAAGGUGGGGAUGACGUCAAAUCAUCACGGCCCUUACGUCCUGGGCUACACACGUGCUACAAUGGUAGGUACAGAGAGCAGCCACUUCGCGAGAAGGAGCGAAUCUAU
rnacentral:rRNA from 1 species